rnacentral:rRNA from 1 species
CCCUUAGAUGUUCUGGGCUGCACGCGUGCUACACUGAAGCUAUCAACACGUUUUCCCUCCCUGAGAAGGGCGGGUAACCUUUUGAAUCAGCUUCGUGGUAGGGAUCGGGGCUUGCAAUUGUUCCCCGUGAACCAGGAAUUCCUAGUAGACGCGAGUCAUAAGCUCGCAUCGAUUAAGUCCCUGCCCUUUGUACACACCGCCCGUCGCUACUACCGAUUGAACGUUUUAGUGAGGCAUUUGGACCGACGCAUCUCAGUUUAACCGCUGGUUUGUGUUGGAAAGACUUCCAAACUUGAGCGUUUAGAGGAAGUAAAAGUCGUAACA